rnacentral:rRNA from 1 species
GACGGAGGAUGCAAGCGUUAUCCGGAAUUAUUGGGCGUAAAGCGUCCGUAGGUGGCCUAUCAAGUCUGCUGUUAAAUCCCAGGGCUCAACUCUGGAUCAGCAGUGGAAACUGAUAAGCUAGAGUGCGGUAGGGGCAGAGGGAAUUCCCGGUGUAGCGGUGAAAUGCGUAGAUAUCGGGAAGAACACCAGUGGCGAAGGCGAUCUGCUGGGCCGUAACUGACACUCAUGGACGAAAGCUAGUGGAGCGAAAGGG